GACGAACGCUGGCGGCGUGCCUAAUACAUGCAAGUAGAACGCUGAAGAGAGGAGCUUACUCUUCUUGGAUGAGUUGCGAACGGGUGAGUAACGCGUAGGUAACCUGCCUUGUAGCGGGGGAUAACUAUUGGAAACGAUAGCUAAUACCGCAUAACAAUGGAUGACACAUGUCAUUUAUUUGAAAGGGGCAAUUGCUCCACUACAAGAUGGACCUGCGUUUUAUUAGCUAGUAGGUGAGGUAAUGGCUCACGUAGGCGACGAUACAUAGCCGACCUGAGAGGGUGGUCAGCCACCCUGGGACUGAGACACGCCCCAGACUCCUACGGGAGGCAGCAGUAGGGAAUCUUCGGCAAUGGGGGCAACCCUGACCGAGCAACGCCGCGUGAGUGAAGAAGGUUUUCGGAUCGUAAAGCUCUGUUGUAAGUCAAGAACGGGUGUGAGAGUGGAAAGUUCACACUGUGACGGUAGCUUACCAGAAAGGGACGGCUAACUACGUG
rnacentral:rRNA from 1 species